rnacentral:rRNA from 1 species
UUACGGUCAAAUCACGCUGAAACACCGGUUCUCGUACGAUCACCGAAGUUAAGCAGCGUAGAGCCAGGUCAGUACUUAGAUGGGGGACCGCUUAAACACCUGGUACUGUAAG